AUCACUUGGGGAUCUUGUUAAAAGGCAGAUUCUGAUUCAAUAGGUGGGGUCUGAGACUCUGCGUUUAUGACUAGUUCCCUGGUGAUGCCAA
rnacentral:pre_miRNA from 1 species